rnacentral:rRNA from 1 species
UACGUAGGGUGCAAGCGUUAAUCGGAAUUACUGGGCGUAAAGCGUGCGCAGGCGGCUUUGCAAGACAGAUGUGAAAUCCCCGGGCUCAACCUGGGAACUGCAUUUGUGACUGCAAUGCUGGAGUGCGGCAGAGGGGGAUGGAAUUCCGCGUGUAGCAGUGAAAUGCGUAGAUAUGCGGAGGAACACCGAUGGCGAAGGCAAUCCCCUGGGCCUGCACUGACGCUCAUGAACGAAAGCGUGGGGAGCAAACAGG